AUGAAAGCGAUGACGAACAUGGGCGAUGCCCGAAGUAGGAGAAAUGCCGCUGCUGCAGAGAGUCGGUGUAGGGUGCAAACCGAUGCAAGUAUGGCUCCGAAUUACAGUUCCGAGUUGGUUAAGGGAACAUGCUCGUUAGGGCAUCAGUAGCUUUUACCCGGCAUUCAUUUGUCGUUAUGAAACUAAGUGAAAGAGAAAUUUGCGAAUGAGAGCGCGAAUCCUUCUCUUUAAUUAGGGUGGUACCGCGAGACAACCUUCUCGUCCCUUUG
rnacentral:ncRNA from 1 species